rnacentral:rRNA from 1 species
CCUACGGGAGGCAGCAGUGGGGAAUAUUGCACAAUGGGGGAAACCCUGAUGCAGCGACGCUGCGUGAGUGAAGAAGUAAUUCGGUAUGUAAAGCUCUAUCAGCAGGGAAGAAAAUGACGGUACCUGAGUAAGAAGCCCCGGCUAACUACGUGCCAGCAGCCGCGGUAAUACGUAGGGGGCAAGCGUUAUACGGAGUGACUGGGUGUAAAGGGAGCGUAGACGGCAGUGCAAGUCUGGAGUGAAGGGCGGGGGCUCAACCCCCGGACUGAUCUUGAAACUGUACGGCUGGAGUGCAGGAGAGGUAAGUGGAAUUCCUAGUGUAGCGGUGAAAUGCGUAGAUAUUAGGAGGAACACCAGUGGCGAAGGCGGCUUACUGGACUGUAACUGACGUUGAGGCUCGAAAGCGUGGGGAGCAAACAGGAUUAGAUACCCGGGUAGUC